rnacentral:rRNA from 1 species
GACGAACGCUGGCGGCGUGCCUAAUACAUGCAAGUCGAGCGAAGGGGAGGAAGGGUGAGUAACGCGUGGGUAGCCUGCACUUAAGUCUGGGAUACCAUUUGGCAACAGAUGCUAAUACCGGAUACAAAAGGAUGGACCUGCGAUGCAUUAGCUAGUUGGUAAGGUAACGGCUUACUAAGGCGAUGAUGCAUAGCCGGGCUGAGAGACUGAUCGGCCACAUUGGGACUGAGACACGGCCCAAACUCCUACGGGAGGCAGCAGUAGGGAAUCUUCCACAAUGGACGAAAGUCUGAUGGAGCAACGCCGCGUGAGUGAAGAAGGUUUUCGGAUCGUAAAGCUCUGUUGUUGGUGAAGCGUUAAUCAACCAGAAAGUCACGGCUAACUACGUGCCAGCCGCCGCGGUAAUAC